UUUUUUUUCUACACAUGUGUGUGAAAUAUUUGUUUAGGUGCAGCCAGGAAUUUAUGUUUGAAUAAUCUACUCGUCAAAACAUUUGUUGAGCAUACUGUCAUAUUUACUUUUUUAUUUUGCUUCGCGCUACGCUCAUUCUAAAAGUGUUUGCAACCUGGGAAAUUUUCUUCAAAAUUCAGUAUAUUUUUCAGCCAACCCAGACUUGACUCCAUAAAAUUAUCUAUGUGUGCAGACAAAACAGCGGAGACAUGAAAAACGACAAUAGAAAAGCAGAAAAGAAGAGCGAACGAACGAACGACCGACCCGGCUAUACAGAAUGGAGGCGAUAAAAAUGCAAUAAAAUGGCGACGGUGCCGGGUGAUAGCGUUUUGAGAUGGGGCGGCCAGACCGAGGGUUACAAAUGUUCCCACUGUGUAUUGUAAUCACUCAGUUAGCCUCGCUUUCCGGGUUCCGUUAUGCAUGUGGCCCGCCGUUUAUCUAAAGAGUUUCGCUGAAGGGUUUCGUUGUGGUUGCGCUGCAUGGCCAAGGAGUGAGAUAAGUUACAAGGAAACAGCAAUUCGAAUAAUUAAGUAGUAAAGAAACAAUGAAACGCAUAUUGAAGAUGAGUUUUUGUUUUUCAGUAUAUUUGAUAAAGGUGAGGGAGUGAGAAAUAAUACGAAUUCUUUUGGAAUCACAAACUUUGUCAACACACAAAAACAAAUUAAAUUUUCUCUUUUAAUUAAA